AAAACUUUCAACAACGGAUCUCUUGGCUCUGGCAUCGAUGAAGAACGCAGCGAAAUGCGAUAAGUAAUGUGAAUUGCAGAAUUCAAUGAAUCAUCGAAUCUUUGAACGCACAUUGCGCCCGCCAGUAUUCUGGCGGGCAUGCCUGUUCGAGCGUCAUUACAACCCUCAGGCCCCCGGGCCUGGCGUUGGGGAUCGGCGGAAGCCCCCUGCGGGCACAACGCCGUCCCCCCAAAUACAGUGGCGGUCCCGCCGCAGCUUCCAUUGCGUAGUAGCUAACACCUCGCAACUGGAGAGCGGCGCGGCCACGCCGUAAAACACCCAACUUCUGAAUGUUGACCUCGAAUCAGGUAGGAAUACCCGCUGAACUUAAGCAUAUCAAUAAGCGGAGGAAAAGAAACCAACAGGGAUUGCCCCAGUAACGGCGAGUGAAGCGGCAACAGCUCAAAUUUGAAAUCUGGCUCUCGGGCCCGAGUUGUAAUUUGUAGAGGAUGCUUUUGGUGAGGUGCCUUCCGAGUUCCCUGGAACGGGACGCCAUAGAGGGUGAGAGCCCCGUCUGGUUGGACACCGAUCCUCUGUAAAGCUCCUUCGACGAGUCGAGUAGUUUGGGAAUGCUGCUCUAAAUGGGAGGUAUAUGUCUUCUAAAGCUAAAUACCGGCCAGAGACCGAUAGCGCACAAGUAGAGUGAUCGAAAGAUGAAAAGAACUUUGAAAAGAGAGUUAAAAAGUACGUGAAAUUGUUGAAAGGGAAGCGCUUGUGACCAGACUUGGGCUUGGUUGAUCAUCCGGGGUUCUCCCCGGUGCACUCUUCCGGCUCAGGCCAGCAUCAGUUCGCCCUGGGGGAUAAAGGCUUCGGGAAUGUGGCUCUCUCCGGGGAGUGUUAUAGCCCGCUGCGUAAUACCCUGUGGCGGACUGAGGUUCGCGCAUUCGCAAGGAUGCUGGCGUAAUGGUCAUCAGUGACCCGUCUUGAAACACGGACC
rnacentral:rRNA from 1 species